CGCGGCCUAUCAGCUUGUUGGUGAGGUAAUGGCUCACCAAGGCGACGACGGGUAGCCGGCCUGAGAGGGUGACCGGCCACACUGGGACUGAGACACGGCCCAGACUCCUACGGGAGGCAGCAGUGGGGAAUAUUGCACAAUGGGCGAAAGCCUGAUGCAGCGACGCCGCGUGAGGGAUGACGGCCUUCGGGUUGUAAACCUCUUUCAGCAGGGAAGAAGCCACAAGUGACGGUACCUGCAGAAGAAGCGCCGGCUAACUACGUGCCAGCAGCCGCGGUAAUACGUAGGGCGCAAGCGUUGUCCGGAAUUAUUGGGCGUAAAGAGCUCAUAGGCGGUUUGUCGCGUCUGCUGUGAAAGCCCGGGGCUUAACCCCGGGUGUGCAGUGGGUACGGGCAGACUAGAGUGCAGUAGGGGAGACUGGAAUUCCUGGUGUAGCGGUGGAAUGCGCAGAUAUCAGGAGGAACACCGAUGGCGAAGGCAGGUCUCUGGGCUGUUACUGACGCUGAGGAGCGAAAGCAUGGGGAGCGAACAGGAUUAGAUACCCUGGUAGUCCAUGCCGUAAACGUUGGGCACUAGGUGUGGGGGACAUUCCACGUUUUCCGCGCCGUAGCUAACGCAUUAAGUGCCCCGCCUGGGGAGUACGG
rnacentral:rRNA from 1 species